rnacentral:lncRNA from 1 species
GUGCGCUGUACGUGUGCUUCCCCAGUGUCAGGGGACAGCCAAUCCUUGGGGCAGGAGCCUGCUCUUUCUCUAGGGGAGAAUCUGCAUCCCAGGCAGGAGAGGGGCAAAAGAAAAGAGAAGCCGGGAGAAAGGAUGGGGAGGAAAUGCAGGCUUGCUGGCCUUGGUAGGUCAUUCUUUUGACCUUGCUUCCUUCUCAGAACACUGUGAACUUGUUUACAAAACUUCUAGGCAAGGGUCAAGGCAACUGGUCUGGAUUACGUCUUUCAACGAGGACCUUUCAGGAUGCAUACCACGCGAGAGGAAUGGAGGGAGGUCUGACAGGCGGGGAAUCCAAUCUGAGCUGCUCCCACUCAAAAAAGGAGACAUUCCGUCAACAAAUAGCAAGGCCCAACCUGUUCCAGAAGCAGUGAACAUGAGACAGCCUAUGUCCCCAGGAAGCCCCCAGCAGGGGACAAGGACAGUCUACAGAUGCACACACGGGCCAUCAGAAUACAGCAGGAGAUGAGCUCUGAUGAGGAAAGGGAGUGCUAUGGGAGAGAGAUCACUGAUCCACCCUGGGGAACAGGAGGCUCGCCAGCCUUCCCCAAAGGUUGGCAAUACCUCAAGUACAUAAAGGGGUUUCUCAUAAAUAAGGGAAUUCCAGGAGCUCCAUUUCCUUCAAAGCAAAAACGAAAGGUAUUUUCCCAAAAUACAAAGCGCCUACAACUUGAAAAAAUGUACACAGCUUUUAAUGAAAGAAAAGCUGAGUCUGGUCUCCAGGGUUUCCAUGCCUGCCCUCUGUACUCUGUUAGAUACUGAGACCUCAAUGGAGGCGGGUGCAACUUGAAGAUCUGAAGGAAAAGCC